UUUCUAGAAGCUUUAAAGAAGCGGCGGUCUUGUAAGUCGUAGAUGCCAGAGGCCUAGAGAU
rnacentral:tRNA from 1 species